GGGUCAGUAGGUUGGUCGUGCCACCGGUACGUACUGGUCUCACUGAUUCCUCCCUCCUGAAGAACCGUAAUGCCAUUAAUUUGGUGUUGCGGGGAAACAGGACUGUUACUUUGAAAAAAUUAGAGUGUUUAAAGCAAGCUAACGCUUUAAUACAUUAGCAUGGAAUAAUGAAAUAGGACGAUCGAUCCUAUUUUGUUGGUUUCUAGGAUUGACGUA
rnacentral:rRNA from 1 species